GAACGGACCUGAUCGAGGCUGCUCCGUCACUGGUUCCAGCUGUGAGGCACCCAGGGGUCGCGGUGCUCAGGCGGAUCUUCGGCUUGCAAAAUUACAGGUUGCAGCCUCAAAGGAUGAGCGGUGCCUUGGGAAAGGUGCUGUACCUGAAGAAUGAUACCAUUUUCAAACAAGCCUUUUCCCUCUUAAGGUAAGGAUGUUAAUAACAAUAAUUAAGUAUAGUUAAUAUUUGCAUUCUGCUUCAUCUUUCCCACAAUUU
rnacentral:lncRNA from 1 species